rnacentral:lncRNA from 1 species
CAACCAGGGAAUAAGUGGGGAGGGGGACCACUUUUAACACUUUUAGCACAUUUUAACACCCCCUCCAUGUGUUUAUGAAAAGAGGGGUGUUAAAUUUUAACACUUCAUCUUUAACACUUGUGUUUGGCAACCAAAAGUGUUAAAAUCUGUUAAAAAGGGGGUGUUAAACUUUAACACCCCCUUCCCAAACAGGCCCUUAAGAAAUGAAGAAAAAUAAAUAGGAGUAAUAAAGGAAGAGGAAGAAGAAGCAGUUGGGGUAUAUGAACAUUUGGUCACUUUCAUCUAUUUUAGAAGCUAGGAAAAACUGUUUACCAAACAUUUUGACUAAAAGACAGAAAAAAACCGCUUUACUAAAAAAACAGAGCCAAAACCAUUUUUGCAAAAGUCAGGACUAUGCCAAACGAACCCGCAAUUUCCACGCACGCGUGAAUGCAUCGCAAGGUUCGAACCUUUUCCUUUCCCGAAUUCUCUCUCCUUAAACUCCUGCCCCCGUAAUUUGAAAACCCAGCGAAUCGUUGCAUGAAAACACAUGGCCCAGUCAUGUUCAUUUAUGGGCUAGUGUACAAUAAUAGCCCGUGUCGGACGGCCUCUUUGGGAACCGAUCCCUGGUUGGACGGUAAAGCCGGUUGUACUAGUAAAACCAGCGAGGAGGACUGGUCCUCUCGGCCAGCCUGCAGCUUCCCUACCACAACCAGAGCAGGUGCGCCGAGACGAGCUACUGCAAAGCGAACUAGCGAAGGAAGGGUACUCCGUGGCGUGGCGUGUCCUGUCCGGGGACGCGGGGAUAGUGGGCAUGGGCACCGCCCCGCGUGCCCGAAGACAAAGAGUUCAUAGGAAUGCCAAUAAUGGAGGGGUCACCAUGAAAGGACACAGGCCUCGGUCCCUUUGGCCUUUGCCCGCGGCCGCCGAUCACCAUGCCGGGCAUUGCCACGCUCGUGGCCAGGUGCGCACGGCACACAAGGGUCCGGGCCUCCCGGGGCCGGGAGACGAUAGUUGAUGGACAGAGCGCACACGCUUAAAUGCCACCAAACGCGCCGUGAAUGCGCCUUCAAUGGCGUGCCCUUGCUUACAAUGCCCGUGCUGCGUGUCUGUCCUUUCCAACGAGACGCCGCGGGGGGCCAUGCGGCCGAUGCGCGCGGUCGCCUUGGCCCCCUUGUGAGGGUCGUGGCUCUGCGAGGAUGGAGAAUGCUGGAUGCGCUGCUCCGGACUCCGGUGCUCCCACCGUGCCUCCGUGCCGCUUUGGUUCGAGCUCUCACGUGUUCGUCCGCUGGACCUGGACAGGCUACAGUGACUCACUGAGUGCUAACUCUGCAGAUCCACAGUGCCCACACCAGGUACACGGUCGAUCAAUCUGGUUACUCUGGAGUUUUCUAGUGCUCUCCUCGCGCUGUCCUUAGGUGGCCACGGCCUAUGGUCUCGUGGACCCAGUUUGCCAGUGGAUUGUGCGAUUACUUAGGGGACGUUUUACUUUUACUUAUUAGCAUGUGUCACAUCGAAUGUUUAGAUACUAAUUAGUAGUAUUAAACGUAGACUAUUUAUAAAACUCAUUACAUAAGUGGAGGCUAAACGGCGAGACGAA